AUACUCUGGAGAAUCCCAUUAAAUUGGGUGCCGAAGGUGCAAGGCUGGCAGUUUCUGCGGGCUGAAUCUCUCAGGCAAAAAGACAGUGAUG
rnacentral:ncRNA from 1 species